CGCAUCUGUGCAUGCAGCAUAUCAAUAAGCGGAGGAAAAGAAACUAACAAGGAUUCCCCUAGUAACGGCGAGUGAAGCGGGAAGAGCUCAAAUUUGAGAUCUUAAAGGGUUUCCCUUUACGAAUUGUAGUUUAAAGAAGUGUUUUCUGUUGAGGUUUUGGUAAAAGUUCUUUGGAAUAGGACAUCAUAGAGGGUGAGAAUCCCGUAUUUGACCUUUACUUUCAACUUUGUGAUACACUUUCAAAGAGUCGGAUUGUUUGGGAAUGCAGUCCAAAAUGGGUGGUAAAUUUCAUCUAAAGCUAAAUAUUGGCGAGAGACCGAUAGCGAACAAGUACCGUGAGGGAAAGAUGAAAAGAACUUUGAAAAGAGAGUUAAACAGUACGUGAAAUUGUCAAAAGGGAAGCGUUUGACACCAGUGUUGUUUUUCUGAAAAUCAAUUAAAGAACUGUUUAUGCUAAGUUGUUUAGACUUUAUCAGCUAACUGUUUAGUUUUGAGCUUUUCUUUAAUGCACUUUUCAGUUAACAAGUCAACAUCAAUUUCUUUUGCUGUAAAAAAGCUUGAGGAAGGUGGCUUGAGAUUCGUCUUAAGUGUUUAUAGCCUCUUGCCUAUGCAGUCGGAGAGAUUGAGGUCUGCAGCGUAGAUCCUUCGGGGCUAAAUGCAUUUGUGCUAAGUUAUAACAUUUUAUAGACAACUUGUUGACUAUGAUUUGUCUUGUAGCUUACUCGCUUAUGUUAUUUUACCUACGCUUAGGAUGUUGAACGCGCACAGAGUCUC
rnacentral:rRNA from 1 species